UACGUAGGGUGCGAGCGUUAAUCGGAAUACUGGGCGUAAAGCGUGCGCAGGCGGUUCGCUAAGCCGAUGUGAAAUCCCCGGGCUUAACCUGGGAACUGCAUUGGUGACUGGCAGGCUAGAGUAUGGCAGAGGGGGGUAGAAUUCCACGUGUAGCAGUGAAAUGCGUAGAGAUGUGGAGGAAUACCGAUGGCGAAGGCAGCCCCCUGGGCCAAUACUGACGCUCAUGCACGAAAGGCGUGGGGAGCAAACAGG
rnacentral:rRNA from 1 species